AAUCAACGCUGGCGGCGUGCCUAACACAUGCAAGUCGAACGAGAAAGUGGAGCAAUCCAUGAGUAAAGUGGCGACCGGGUGAGUAACACGUGACUAACCUACCUUCGAGUGGGGGAUAACCUCGGGAAACCGGGGCUAAUACCGCAUAAUGCCUUCGGGUUAAAGGAGCAAUUCGCUUGAAGAGGGGGUCGCGGCUGAUUAGCUAGUUGGCGGGGUAAUGGCCCACCAAGGCGAUGAUCGGUAGCCGGCCUGAGAGGGCGCACGGCCACACUGGAACUGAAACACGGUCCAGACUCCUACGGGAGGCAGCAGUGGGGAAUUUUGCGCAAUGGGGGAAACCCUGACGCAGCAACGCCGCGUGGAGGAUGAAGUCCCGUGGGACGUAAACUCCUUUCGACCGGGACGAU
rnacentral:rRNA from 1 species